rnacentral:rRNA from 1 species
GAUGAACGCUAGCGGCAGGCCUAAUACAUGCAAGUCGUACGGCAACACAGUUGCGAGCAAUCGCAACCGGUGGCGAGUGGCGCACGGGUGAGUAACGCGUAUGUAACCUACCCUUCUCCGGGACAUAACUCCGCGAAAGCGGUGCUAAUAUCCCAUACCAACUCAUCAAGACAUCUUCUUGAGUUGAAAGCAGCAAUGCGGUGAAGGAUGGGCAUGCGUCCCAUUAGCUGGUUGGUGAGGUAAUGGCCCACCAAGGCUACGAUGGGUAGGGGUUCUGAGAGGAAAGCCCCCCACACUGGUACUGAGACACGGACCAGACUCCUACGGGAGGCAGCAGUAAGGAAUAUUGGGCAAUGGUCGAAAGACUGACCCAGCCAUGCCGCGUGCAGGGUGAAGGCCCUAUGGGUUGUAAACUGCUUUUAGCCGGGAAUAAACACCCGUUUUAUAACGGGCCCGAAGGUACCGGCUGAAUAAGCAUCGGCUAACUCCGUGCCAGCAGCCGAC